GUUAUCUGAACCAAGCAGAUUUAAAUCCGGACUGAGACUGGACCAUUCAGAAACACUCAACACCUCUUGGAAAGCCAUUCUGACCUGACCUUAAGAAUAUAUAUAGCGACUAUGUCAAGUUGGCUCGGAACAUCCCUCGAGGGUCUCACCAAGACUCGGAAAAGCUAAUCAGAGGAGAGGAGAGCCCUUACAUGCUGCCAGGAGGAACAUUUGUCGGACUCCUUUUCCAAAACACCUGUGUUCUGAGCAGUCUAUUGGCCGGAAUACAUAUAACAGCAACAAGAUUUAGCAAAAUCAAAGAUUAUUUUAUGACAGACAACACAGUCGGUGCAGUCAUAACCUUUCUCGAUAACAAAAUGUAUAAUGAGGCGAUGGGUCUUUGGCUUAUUAAUUUAGAUUUGCGUGUUGGAAGAAAACUAUACUUUUCCCAAAACGAAGGUCUAGAUUGUAGAGGCUAUGUCGAAGACUUCCUACCAAAUUUCGAUGACCUGACAAUUGUCAAAUAUGAAGACGACAACAACGAUUACGAUAUGAGCCCCUCAGCUUGCAUUUACAAUGGAACACUGAGCAAUUUUAAGAUAUAUGGUCACGUUUACAUCCUGGACACCGUAAUGGACCCUAAACUCAUCCUGGUGAAUAUGCUUGGCCGAAUGGGAAACGGAUGUCUUCCUCCUUAUGUCAUCACGGAUGAUUUUUCAAGGAAGUACGAGCUUCAGUUCCUUUUGCUGGGUUUAAUCACAGCAGAGAUCAAACACAUGGUGCUGUGUGUUAAACAAGAAGGAGGGCGAUGGAUGCUGUACGAUAACUCAGGUACGCCCCAAUUCCAGGACUUCAACAUGGAGAUAGAAAGGAAGAAAUACGUUGUUUACCUCGCUGCCUACGUGAAUGUGAACAGUGCAUAUCCAGAGAAACAAGUGCAAGAAUCAGAGCAAGUAAAUGACCUCGUCCUGCCAGUGGUUGUAACAGUCAACACCUGCCGAUCAACAUCCCCAUUCAGAUUACCGGUGGAAGAGACAACCAUCUCCACCCUGCCGACCUGUCAGCAGCAACGAGAGGAUGCUUCCCCCUAAGGUCUGUUCCUAACUAUAGUGUGACUGCAGUUUUUUUUUGCUUUCCACUGUCAUCAUAGGCUUGUUUUAAGGGGGAUUUGGCAUUAGACUGAAAUAUUGAAUAAAAAUGUGUUUGCCAUCGCAAAAAAACGAGUGUUAGGUGGGAAGAAAUUGAUAAGCUCUUGCCAAGCACAAUUAGGAUACGAGCUGAGAUUCAGCAUCACGGAGAGCAAUAGAUUAAAUCAUCACGACAUUUGACAUUCAAAGCCACAGGGCAUUUUUAUCACUCUUAGGCUUUCGUUUCAUUGUAGACUAGGCUGCAGGGAUGGUAACAACACAGCUAACUUACACACAAACAUGUAGCCUGUACGAGAUGUAAACAUACCACUUUCCCGCCACAGGUGAAUCAACUGUUAAUGUGUGGUAGGGAUCAGAGACCCUUUCCUUUGUGCAACUUGACUGCAUUCCUACCAAGUUAUGUUUUUCUUUUUUUUAAUGAAAUCAUUUUUCAUGUAGUCUACUACUGCUUAUGAGUGAAAAAUUAUGGAAGACCGACCCCUGAUUUAACAAAAUAUGUGUUGUCAUAAAUUACUUGUAAAUGUCUGUUUUAUCUUUCUGUGUCUCCCCUGUGGAAGUGGAAAACGCAGAGGAAUGUGGCUGAGGGCACCCUGGCCUGAAUACACCCAGACAUUCAUUGCCUGAGCCCACUUGGUUGUGCUGCUGACCAAGUCCACCUGGUUGUGCUACCUCCACUGGACCGACCUGCUUCCUUUAGCCGCUACACCAACAAAUGUUUAUUUCUUUACUUACCGUGUCUUUGUAAAAAGCUAUCAGACCGACCACGGGGUCUUGAAGUAUUGAAAAUCUCUAUCCGGUACAGCCAGAAGAGGACUGGCAACCCCUCUCAGCCUGGUUCCUCUCUAGGUUUCUUCCUUUUAGGGAGUUUUUCCUAGCCACUGUGCUCUUGCUUAUGCUUUGCUGUUUGGGGUCUGACAAUUGCAGAUGUAAAAACUGCUUUAUAAAUAAAUUUGAUUGAUUGAUCAACAA